rnacentral:misc_RNA from 1 species
GGAGUAUUAACAGGCAUAAAUUUAAUAAUUCUGUCCCUACCACUGUUAACUAGUGAUCCUAUCCAGUACAGAUCACAUAAAAGCUCUCAAGCUCUGUUAUUAAACUCUGGUGUUCAUCAAUUUCUUUCUAAAGAAAAUGACCCAGACAAGAAGAUACAGCUAUAGUUUCUGGCCGUCAAUCCAUCAUAAGUACAAUAGAUAAUAUCAUAAUAUUGAUUUCAGCUUUUUCAGUUCUAGGUCUAAAAUUUCUUCUUCAGGGCUUUUAUAGGCAUCUGCAAUAGCCUUCCCUGUAUCCAUAACGUCAGGAGCGACAGUCUGGAGGCCGCUGUAAAAUAUAAGAACUUGUCAUAUAAGGAAUUUACCUGAUUCCAUACAUACUGAAUUGUUACAGAUUUGUUGUAAGUGAUGGGAAAAAAAAAAUUCUAAAUACAUCCUGAAGACAAGAAUUAACCCCUUCGCCACAUAUCAUGUGUUACUUAGGCGCUCAGAUAAUCGAUAGCCCAGAAAAAAAAGCAUUACCUGUCGAGGGCAUCAAGGGCAAUACCUAUUUUUGCCUUCACUGAUAUGACUGAAGCUUUCUGGAUCAUUUCUUGAUACAUGCAGAAGCAAGGAAUCAAGUUCUUCCAAGGCUCUAUAAAAAUGAAAAUGCUACAACUGUAAUGGUUUAAUCGAUGCUCACUUGCAAACUUGAAUUAUUUAUACAAGCUAGCCACAUGAUCGCCACACAUGCCAUUUCAAUAAUUUUUAUUAAAAAUUAAACACAGUUUUUAAACAUGUUGUCCCUGGAUAGGUUUUCCAAACAUGAUAAUGGUGCAAAUCCUGGCCGCACUUAUCCAGUUUAUCCCAGGCAGUAAGCAUCCACGGUCUGCAAAUAGGAAGACCAAACUGGAAGAGACACUCAAUCAGAAAUCCACUGACACUCGAUCAGAAAUCCACCUUAGUAACAAAUGACAUACCUACAAUGCUUUUUGGCUUUUAAAGUGACAGAGAUUAUGGCACAGACCUCAGACAUCUAUCAACAUCAUUGAAAACAGUGUUGCCACUUCCAGCAUCUGAAGCAUAUUUUGCUACCUGAAGCUUCAUAGAAAAAUUUUCAAAGCUCAGGAACUCACGUACACAGAUACUCAAAUAUUUAUACGACGAGUCGCUGCAGGACCAGAGCGUAAUAGAAAGCAACAAUUAGCAAAUUGGAGUUGAUCAAGCUCCAAAGUUUUCUCUAUACAAGCCAAACCACAAAAACAAAAGCAUCAUGCCAAACUUUCAACAUCUUACAAAAGAUCUAAUUGAGCUACAAGUCUUGCAAACUGUAAGUAUAAAGAAAAAUUCUUUAAGCGUGUAUGGAAAAACUGAAGUUUAAGGACUGAACAAACAACAACAACAAUUAAAGCUUAAUUCCAAACUAAUUAAGACUGAUUGUAUGAAUCCUUUUUUAUCAUUCAACUCUGUGUAAGAACUGAAAGAGUAAUAUAUCCUGACCGCGUAACACUAAAAUAUUUUGUGCCACAUCUUCCACACGAUACAGAAAUUGUAUAUUUGAUCAUGAGGGAAUUACCCAAGUCCUUAAUCUGAAGCUGGGUCAAUAUGACAGCAGGACCAUAAGCCACAAAUGGGUCAAGCUUUUUCGGUUAGGGACAAGAAAGAGAUGCGAUAAGAGGAGAGAGAUGGAGACCAAUCGCCCGCUGAUCUCCGGCCACUUGGCGGGGGGACAAUGCGCACCUCACUCCACCGAAAUUCUUCCUGUGUUUUGCUGAGAUAAGAUUAAGAGAAGGGAAAAGCGAAGGAUUUCAAGGACUGAUGCUAACGUGCGCCGUGGUGUAGGAUAUUGACAUCAUAACAUGCCCGUAGUCACUAGAGCGUAGGUUCCGAGAGAAGAGUCGUCAGUGGAAGGAGAAAAAGAAAGAAAUAAAGCAAGUUCCCUAUCCCUUCCUUUCCAGCGUCCAGGUCACUACAGGUCACCCCUGAAAUGACGGAUUUACCCUCGAUUUUACUGCCAUUUUCCUCUUAACGGAGCAGUUGACCAAAAAAGAAAAAGAAUGAAAACACAAAGUAUAUGGAGGAUAGAAUUGUAAAUAGGUGAAGUCAGGUAGGAACCGAAAGCCCAGUUGGUGACGAGUCGAGAUGUCUUAAAAUCACAAGCCAAAAGCUGUACUGGUAAUAUCGAAGUAGACAUUCUACUGGCUCUUCCAUCCUUCGUUUCAUUUCCGAUCCCAUCUCACUCUCCUUAAAAUCUUUCUCCUUCUCUCUGCUCUUUGUUUCAGCUGUAAUAUAGCUUACCGCCAAUGGCUACAUUGUUUCUCAAACUCUCUCUUCUGUUCGUCUCUGUCUCUGCCAGCAUUCAUAAUGUAGUAAGAGUAACGGAUAACCCAGCUGAUCAACUGGUAGCUGUGCUUAACAGCAAUAGGACUGCACACAAGGGAUCAUCACUCUAUGACAAUCCAGGCCUAGCCUGCAUUGCAUUGCAGUACAUAAAAGCAUACCAAGGGGAUUGUGGUGCUGUAGGAGGAGCUGAUGCAAAGAAACCUGCUGAAUCUGAAUUUGCUGAAACUUUUGCUCCUGCUUGUGGCGUCACGGUCUCAACUCUCACUCCAAUCACAGGUCGUUUACUUGGCUGCCAAUCCAAAUACGUCGAUCCAGCUGAAGUAUUUUCAGAAGUUCUGAUGAAAAACAGCAAGAGCUUGGACAUUCUAUAUAAUAAGAAUCACACAGAAGUGGGAGCUGCAGUUUCAGGCACCGAUGGUGGGUCUCCCUAUUUUUGGUGUGUGUUGUUCAGCAAUGGUAAGCCUAACAGUAGCUUUGCUUUAGAGGGAGGUGUGGCUAAGGUAACAAGGCCUGGGUGCUUUAGUGGUGCUAAUGAUGAAUGUAGCGGUGCUAGCAAUUGGCCAACCCGGCCUCUUGGUCUUUGGCCCUAUGCUACCUCUGCUUCGUUUCUUCUUAUGUAUGCCUUUGGUCUAUAGAUCAUCUCUCUUGUGAAUUUAAACCAUGUUCCACUUGAUUUUCAAGACCUUUGUUCUUUGUAUUAGUUGACUUGGCCCUCGGUAAUUGUUUGUUGUAAUUCAUUUUCUGUUUAUUGUUUCAUGUCAUGGUGAGCUUAAGAGCAGAACAAUACAAUACUAUGCCAUUCAUUUUCUUUAGUUAUGUGAUCUCUUCAAUUGUAAUAUUCCAAGUCACUUGAAUCUGCUCAAAGAAGCAUUUCC